rnacentral:rRNA from 1 species
UAUCAUGCAAGUCGAGCGAAUCGAUGGGAGCUUGCUCCCUGAGAUUAGCGGCGGACGGGUGAGUAACACGUGGGCAACCUGCCUAUAAGACUGGGAUAACUUCGGGAAACCGGAGCUAAUACCGGAUACGUUCUUUUCUCGCAUGAGAGAAGAUGGAAAGAUGGUUUACGCUGUCACUUAUAGAUGGGCCCGCGGCGCAUUAGCUAGUUGGUGAGGUAAUGGCUCACCAAGGCGACGAUGCGUAGCCGACCUGAGAGGGUGAUCGGCCACACUGGGACUGAGACACGGCCCAGACUCCUACGGGAGGCAGCAGUAGGGAAUCUUCCGCAAUGGACGAAAGUCUGACGGAGCAACGCCGCGUGAACGAAGAAGGCCUUCGGGUCGUAAAGUUCUGUUGUUAGGGAAGAACAAGUACCAGAGUAACUGCUGGUACCUUGACGGUACCUAACCAGAAAGCCACGGCUAACUACGUGCCAGCAGCCGCGGUAAUACGUAGGUGGCAAGCGUUGUCCGGAAUUAUUGGGCGUAAAGCGCGCGCAGGUGGUUCCUUAAGUCUGAUGUGAAAGCCCACGGCUCAACCGUGGAGGGUCAUUGGAAACUGGGGAACUUGAGUGCAGAAGAGGAAAGUGGAAUUCCAAGUGUAGCGGUGAAAUGCGUAGAGAUUUGGAGGAACACCAGUGGCGAAGGCGACUUUUCUGGUCUGUAACUGACACUUGAGGCGCGAAAAGCGUGGGGGAGCAAACAGGAUUAGAUACCCCUGGUUAGUCCACGCCCGUUAAACGAUUAAGUGCCUAAUUGUUAGAAGGGUUUCCCCCCCUUUAUUGCCUGCAGCUUAACGCAUUAACCACUCCCUCCUGGGGAGUA